UCAACCCAUACUACGUUCAAGCUAUUUUCUCACUUAAAUGAACCAGGAACAAGUAUCGACAUUUUAUAGAGAGAUACUUAACUCUGAUGCAUAAUAUGACAACUUCAUAUUUGUUCUGAUCGUCUCACAAAUAUUCUUUAGCUCAGUUUUUACUCAUUUCUUUGUCAAUGGAUCAUUUUAAUUUGCUCAAAGUGAUCCAAACUUAUAUUUCAUUAUUUCAUAGAGUCUCUCAUAAUUUUUGGUAAAGUAAUAUAUCAACUCUAUAUUUUUCUCUUAACCUUGUGAGCUAAAUUCUUCAGUGUCUAAAUCAAUUCGUACCGGUUUUAUAAAUAUCUUCCCUAAAUAUCUAGUAAUCCAUCCUCAUCCUCUGUGACUCACGUUCACUCCCUCCUUCUUUUUCAUUGUCACGUUUCUUUCUUUCUUGCAGCAGACCAUAAUCUUUCUUUCUUAUCCUUCUUCUUCUCUAUUUUCUAUAUAUAAGUAUAUAUCUGGUACCACUCUCUUGUCCACUCACGCUGCUCUCUUUCAAUUCAGAUUGCAUUAGCAUUCAUUACAAUUCCAAAUUCUCUCUUGUUCACUUUCAUUUUCUCUUUACAGCAAACCUCAUCAUGUUCCAUUUCUUCUUCCUCUAUCUUUUUCUCUCUUUUCCUUCCCCUGGGCAGCAUAAAAAAACGCACAUCAUGGUCCCUUUUCCUCCCUCACGUGAUUCCUUUCUUGUGCAGCACCAUCAUCUUCAUCUUCCAAUUUUAUGGGUACGAAGGACGAAAGCGCAUUGCGACGAAGCUAAAGAAUAGAAGGAAGCAAGCCGACGCGGAAAACAAAGAUGUGAUAGGAUUGGAGUUGCAGUUUAGGAAGAAAAUUGGCUAAGGCCCUAAUAGGUGUUGCUUCGAGUAGCUGUUGAUUGCUGCAAGGAGGUGAUUGGACUGAUUGACGAGAAGAUUUGCUUGGAGUGAGUGAACCAACCAAAGACUUGUAAAAUAAUAGUUAGAUGUAAGGCUGGAGCCUUGGGUAGAGAAGCUUACCGUCAUUGGUUGAAGCUUGUAAGGAAGAUUGUAAUACUUACUUUGGUCUUGGGUAGGUUCCGAUGCAUUACUCUUCUGCGAAUCUCCAGUGAGGGGAUUGUAGGAAGUAUAUUGGACUUAGGGUGUUAUCACAUUUUGAACUUUGUUGUCGGUUAAGAUAUUACUUCACUGUAUAUUUUAUA